rnacentral:rRNA from 1 species
CAAUAGCGUAUAUUAAAGUUGUUGCAGUUAAAAGCUCGUAGUUGGAUUUCGGAGUGGGCCAGUUGGUCCGCCGCAAGGUGUGUUACUGACUGGUUUGCUCUUCUUCGCAAAGACUGCGUGUGCCUUAAAUGAGUGUGCGUAGGAUUUACGACGUUUACUUUGAGGAAAUUAGAGUGUUCACAGCAAGCAAACGCUUUGAAUAUGUUAGCAUGGAAUAAUAAUAUAGGACCUUGGAUCUAUUUUGUUGGUUUCUAGAACUAAGGUAAUGAUUAAUAGGGACAGUUGGGGCGAUUCGGUAUUAAGGCGUCAGAGGUGGAAUUCUUGGAUUGCCUUACGACGAACUACUGCGAAAGCAUUUGCCAAGGAUGUUUUCAUUGAUCAAGAACGAAAGUAUGGGAUCGAAGAUGAUCAGAUACCG